rnacentral:rRNA from 1 species
GAUGAACACUAGCUACAGGCUUAACACAUGCAAGUCGAGGGGAAACGAUAGAGAAAGCUUGCUUUUUCUGGGCGUCGACCGGCGCACGGGUGAGUAACGCGUAUCCAACCUGCCCAUCACUUGGGGAUAACCUUGCGAAAGUAAGACUAAUACCCAAUGACGUCUCUAGAAGACAUCUGAAGGAGAUUAAAGAUUUAUCGGUGAUGGAUGGGGAUGCGUCUGAUUAGCUUGUUGGCGGAGUAACGGCCCACCAAGGCGACGAUCAGUAGGGGUUCUGAGAGGAAGGCCCCCCACAUUGGAACUGAGACACGGUCCAAACUCCUACGGGAGGCAGCAGUGAGGAAUAUUGGUCAAUGGACGAGAGUCUGAACCAGCCAAGUAGCGUGCAGGAUGACGGCCCUAUGGGUUGUAAACUGCUUUUAUAAGGGAAUAAAGUGAGUCUCGUGAGACUUUUUGCAUGUACCUUAUGAAUAAGGACCGGCUAAUUCCGUGCCAGCAGCCG